rnacentral:rRNA from 1 species
CGAACCGAGCGAACGUUGUUCGGAAUCACUGGGCUUAAAGGGCGCGUAGGCGGGCUGUCAAGUCUGGGGUGAAAUCCCGCGGCUCAACCGUGGAACUGCCUCAGAUACUGACGGCCUCGUGGGGGGUAGGGGCGAGCGGAACGGAUGGUGGAGCGGUGAAAUGCGUUGAUAUCAUCCGGAACUCCGGUGGCGAAGGCGGCUCGCUGGACCUCUUCUGACGCUGAGGCGCGAAAGCUAGGGGAGCAAACGGGAUUAGAUACCCCGGUAGUCCUAGCCCUAAACGUUGGGUACUAGAUAGUAGACUAGACAUGGGUUUACUGUCGAAGCAAAAGUGCUAAGUACCCCGCCUGGGGAGUAUGGUCGCAAGGCUG